rnacentral:misc_RNA from 1 species
GGUCAAGGCUGGGCGGGUCGGGGUCGCAGCGGUAUAGAAAUCCAUCGAGUUUGUCUCCCAUUUCAACCCGCCCAGCCUCGGCA